rnacentral:sRNA from 10 species
CUCAGGUCAGAGAAGAGAUAUUUAAAAAGAAGAUCUCUUCUCUACUCCCACUGCUUCACUUGACUAGACUUAA